CAUUGAGAGACUGAGCCGCCUCGGUAACUCAUCAUAACUCAUCAUAACUUCAUCAUAACUUCAUCAUAACUCAUCAUAACUCAUCAUAACUCAUCAUAACGUAAUCAACAACUGAGAAAAGUCAAGGUUAAGUUUGACAUCUUGAUGUUUUUAAAAUGCUGCUGAGUCAAAGAAGAACAAAAUGUCGGGAAUUCACGGGACCGACGCCUCAUUCAGUCGCUUUGGCUGCGUGUGCUGCUGGAGGAGGAGGAGCAGCAGCUCCUGCAGGAGAUGGAGGAGAAGAUGGAGACUCCGAUGGAGAGACAGGCGAAGAUGAGAGAACGAGCCAAAGCUCUGAGAGAGAGGAGAGAGACAGACAGGCAGAAGAUGGUCUCAGAGAAGAUGGAUCAGCUGUUCAGGUAAACAGAGAGACAGACAGGCAGAAGAUGUCUCAGAGAAGAUGGAUCAGCUGUUCAGGUAAACAGAGAGACAGACAGGCAGAAGAUGGUCUCAGAGAAGAUGGAUCAGCUGUUCAGUGGAGCUGAACAUUCAGAGUCAGGAGGAGUUGUCCAAAGAGAGAGACGAGCUGAACAGAGCGAUGGAAGAGAUGAAGCUGAUGGACGACAAGGAGAA